rnacentral:rRNA from 1 species
GGUAACAGGAUUAACUUGCUAAUCGCUGACGAGUGGCGGACGGGUGAGUAAUGCUUGGGAACUUGCCUUUGUGAGGGGGAUAACAGUUGGAAACGACUGCUAAUACCGCAUAAUGUCUUUGGACCAAACGGGGCUUCGGCUCCGGCGCAAAGAGAGGCCCAAGUGAGAUUAGCUAGUUGGUGAGGUAAGAGCUCACCAAGGCGACGAUCUCUAGCUGUUCUGAGAGGAAGAUCAGCCACACUGGGACUGAGACACGGCCCAGACUCCUACGGGAGGCAGCAGUGGGGAAUAUUGCACAAUGGGGGAAACCCUGAUGCAGCCAUGCCGCGUGUGUGAAGAAGGCCUUCGGGUUGUAAAGCACUUUCAGUUGUGAGGAAAAGUUAGUAGUUAAUACCUGCUAGCCGUGACGUUAACAACAGAAGAAGCACCGGCUAACUCCGUGCCAGCAGCCGCGGUAAUACGGAGGGUGCGAGCGUUAAUCGGAAUUACUGGGCGUAAAGCGCACGCAGGCGGUUUGUUAAGCUAGAUGUGAAAGCCCCGAGCUCAACUUGGGAUGGUCAUUUAGAACUGGCAGACUAGAGUCUUGGAGAGGGGAGUGGAAUUCCAGGUGUAGCGGUGAAAUGCGUAGAUAUCUGGAGGAACAUCAGUGGCGAAGGCGACUCCCUGGCCAAAGACUGACGCUCAUGUGCGAAAGUGUGGGUAGCGAACAGGAUUAGAUACCCUGGUAGUCCACACCGUAACGCUGUCUAC